rnacentral:misc_RNA from 1 species
UUUCCGUAGGUGAACCUGCGGAAGGAUCAUUAACACGUUUUUUUACAAAAACGUUAUCUUUGCCACCAUGUCAACCAAGCGCGCACAAAUGUAGGCUACAAUCAUAGGGCAAACACAAAGGUGGCAGCUUUCUUGCAAGAGGCGCUGGCUCCGGGCCAGACUUCUUAACAAAAGUUACUAAAUAUUUGGGUUAUGUCCGUUGCCGAUUUGCCCAACAUUUUUAUUUAUUUUCCAACUCUUAUCUUGAGUAUUUUUUUCUGUUUCUGAAAUUUAUUUUUCAGAAUCCUGCCAAGCUUAAAUCUGCCACUGUGCGAUGGACAACUUGUGCACAACCAAUUUUGUCAUCUCUUAGCAACGAAUAUCUUGGUUCCCGCAUCGAUGAAGACCGCAGC